GACGAACGCUGGCGGCGUGCUUAACACAUGCAAGUCGAACGAAGUGGCGAACGGGGGAGUAAUACGGGGGUAACCUGCCCUCCUUUUUGGGAUAAGCCUUGGAAACGGGGUCUAAUACCGAAGAAAGGGGGAUGUGCUCGUGGCCUAUCAGCUGGUUGGUGGGGUGGUGGCCUACCAAGGCGGUGACGGGUAGCCGGCCUGUGAGGGUGACCGGCCACAUUGGGACUGAGAUACUGCCCAGACUCCUACGGGAGGCAGCAGUGGGGGAUAUUGCACAAUGGGCGAAAGCCUGCUGCGGCGACGCCGCGUGGGGGAUGAAGGCUUUCGGGUUGUUAACCUCUUUCGCUAUCGAAUGGGUAGGUGGCGAAGAAGCGCCGGCUAACUACGUGCCAGCAGCCGCGGUAAUAC
rnacentral:rRNA from 1 species